rnacentral:lncRNA from 1 species
UCGCUUAUUACCACUAAAAUUGUCAACACGACUGAGGAACUGUUCUUAAAAGGAAACAUUUAUACUUAGCAUGAUUUAGUAUACAUCAUAUGCGCAGGCACAGUACCAAGAAAAUUUUACAACAAACCGAUCAUAUAGUUAAAAAACAAAUUUAUACAUUAACAGAGUCAAAACUCAGAAGCUUCUUGGUGUGCAGUUGGUGUUUCUUCCCUUGGUGACUUCUCCAUUAUUUUUGGUGAAUAGCUCUUGCCAUCCAUUGCCCCCAAAAAAGAAAAAAACAGAAAAGUUCUGCAGUUUCUGAGAAAGGAUCUUGCUCGUUAAUUUGUUCACGGAGCUCCCCAUCCUAAUAAUAUCGUAGUACUGCAUGCCGGUGUAUCAGUGGGAGAAAUAUGUGACGAACAGCGCCGCGAACAUGAGCAAGUACGCGAUCGCCUGAUCAAUGGCCUUCGCAUCGAUCGCCCGCGCCGCCGUCGCUGCCGACGCCGGUUUGUCCUGCGCCAUGGAGAGCUGCAUGAGCCCCGAGAAGAAGAAGGCUGUGAACAGCAGCACGUAAACCUUCACGGCCACCAUCUUCGCUAGACUUGCUACAGUGUUGCAGCAGAAAGGAUGAGGAAAUGAUUUGCCAGAGAUGAUUGUAAUUUGGUGUUUAUAGC